rnacentral:rRNA from 1 species
AGCGAACGCUGGCGGCAGGCUUAACACAUGCAAGUCGAACGGGCACUUCGGUGUCAGUGGCAGACGGGUGAGUAACGCGUGGGAACAUACCUCUUGGUUCGGAACAACACAGGGAAACUUGUGCUAAUACCGGAUAAGCCCUUACGGGGAAAGAUUUAUCGCCGAGAGAUUGGCCCGCGUCUGAUUAGCUAGUUGGUGUGGUAAAAGCGCACCAAGGCGACGAUCAGUAGCGGUCUGAGAGGAUGAUCAGCCACAUUGGGACUGAGACACGGCCCAAACUCCUACGGGAGGCAGCAGUGGGGAAUAUUGGACAAUGGGCGCAAGCCUGAUCCAGCCAUGCCGCGUGAGUGAUGAAGGCCCUAGGGUUGUAAAGCUCUUUUGUACGGGAAGAUAAUGACGGUACCGUAAGAAUAAGCCCCGCUAACUUCGUGCCAGCAGCCGCAA